rnacentral:rRNA from 1 species
GAUGAACGCUGGCGGCGUGCCUAAUACAUGCAAGUCGAGCGAACAGACGAGGAGCUUGCGCCCCUGACGUUAGCGGCGGACGGGUGAGUAACACGUGGAUCACCUACUUAUAUGUCGGGGAUAACUACGGAAAACCGGAGCUAAUAGCAGAUAAUAUAUUGAACCGCAUGGUGCAAUAGUGAAAGACGGCUUUGGUGUCACGAAUAGAUGGAUCCGCGCCGCAUUAGCUAGUUGGUAAGGUAACGGCUUACCAAGGCGACGAUGCGUAGCCGACCUGAGAGGGUGAUCGGCCACACUGGAACUGAGACACGGUCCAGACUCCUACGGGAGGCAGCAGUCGGGAAUCUUCGGCAAUGGGCGAAAGCCUGACGCAGCAACGCCGCGUGAGUGAUGAAGGUCUUCGGAUCGUAAAGCUCUGUUAUUGGGGAAGAACAGCUGUGUAAUUAACUAUGCACGUCUUGACGGUACCUAAUCAAAAAGCACCGGCUAACUACGUG